rnacentral:rRNA from 1 species
GACGAACGCUGGCGGCGUGCUUAACACAUGCAAGUCGAACGGGAGUAUUGAAGAAGCUUGCUUUAGAGAUACUUUAGUGGCGGACGGGUGAGUAACGCGUGAGGAGCUGUCCAAUGCAGGGGGACAACAGUUGGAAACGACUGCUAAUACCCCAUAAGCCGAGAGGUAAAGGAUUUAUCCGGCAGAGGAGGUACUCGCGUCCUAUCAGCUAGUAGGUGAGGUAACGGCUCACCUAGGCGAAGACGGGUAGCCGGCCUGAGAGGGCGAACGGCCACACUGGAACUGAGAUACGGUCCAGACUCCUACGGGAGGCAGCAGUGGGGAAUAUUGGGCAAUGGGGGGAACCCUGACCCAGCGACGCCGCGUGGGUGAAGAAAUCCUUCGGGAUGUAAAGCCCUGUUGUAUGGGAAGAGCGGAAGACGGUACCAUACGAGGAAGCCCCGGCAAACUACGUGCCAGCAGCCGCGGUAAU